rnacentral:sRNA from 1 species
UGUCUAUGGGCUCCGGUAACCGCUUAAC